rnacentral:rRNA from 1 species
AUUGAACGCUGGCGGCAGGCUUAACACAUGCAAGUCGAGCGGGGUGAUGGUGCUUGCACUAUCACUUAGCGGCGGACGGGUGAGUAAUGCUUAGGAAUCUGCCUAUUAGUGGGGGACAACAUCUCGAAAGGGAUGCUAAUACCGCAUACGUCCUACGGGAGAAAGCAGGGGAUCACUUGUGACCUUGCGCUAAUAGGUGAGCCUAAGUCGGAUUAGCUAGUUGGUGGGGUAAAGGCCUACCAAGGCGACGAUCUGUAGCGUGUCUGAGAGGAUGAUCCGCCACACUGGGACUGAGACACGGCCCAGACUCCUACGGGAGGCAGCAGUGGGGAAUAUUGGACAAUGGGGGGAGCCCUGAUCCAGCCAUGCCGCGUGUGUGAAGAAGGCCUUAUGGUUGUAAAGCACUUUAAGCGAGGAGGAGGCUCUUUUGGUUAAUACCCAAGAUGAGUGGACGUUACUCGCAGAAUAAGCACCGGCUAACUCUGUGCCAGCCGCCGCAGUAA